rnacentral:rRNA from 1 species
GAUCCUGGCUCAGAGCGAACGCUGGCGGCAGGCCUAACACAUGCAAGUCGAACGGACCCUUCGGGGUUAGUGGCGGACGGGUGAGUAACACGUGGGAACGUGCCUUUAGGUUCAGAAUAGCUCCUGGAAACGGGUGGUAAUGCCGAAUGUGCCCUUCGGGGAAAGGAUUUAUCGCCUUUAGAGCGGCCCGCGUCUGAUUAGCUAGUUGGUGAGGUAACGGCUCACCAAGGCGACGAUCAGUAGCU